UGGGGAAUUUUGGACAAUGGGGGAAACCCUGAUCCAGCCAUCCCGCGUGUGCGAUGAAGGCCUUCGGGUUGUAAAGCACUUUUGUCAGGGAAGAAAAGGUUUCGGAUAAUACCCGGAGCUGAUGACGGUACCUGAAGAAUAAGCACCGGCUAACUACGUGCCAGCAGCCGCGGUAAUACGUAGGGUGCAAGCGUUAAUCGGAAUUACUGGGCGUAAAGCGUGCGCAGGCGGUUCGGAAAGAAAGAUGUGAAAUCCCAGGGCUCAACCUUGGAACUGCAUUUUUAACUACCGGACUAGAGUAUGUCAGAGGGGGGUGGAAUUCCACGUGUAGCAGUGAAAUGCGUAGAUAUGUGGAGGAACACCGAUGGCGAAGGCAGCCCCCUGGGAUAAUACUGACGCUCAUGCACGAAAGCGUGGGGAGCAAACAGG
rnacentral:rRNA from 1 species